UACGUAGGGUGCAAGCGUUGUCCGGAAUUAUUGGGCGUAAAGAGCUCGUAGGCGGUUUGUCGCGUCUGCCGUGAAAGUCCGGGGCUCAACCCCAAGCUUGCGGGCGAUACGGGCAGACUUGAGUACUGCAGGGGAGACUGGAAUUCCUGGUGUAGCGGUGAAAUGCGCAGAUAUCAGGAGGAACACCGGUGGCGAAGGCGGGUCUCUGGGCAGUAACUGACGCUGAGGAGCGAAAGCGUGGGGAGCGAACAGG
rnacentral:rRNA from 1 species